GAGGAUAUAGCUCAGUUGUAGAGAGCUUGCCUAGCAUGCAUGAGACCCUGGUUUCAAACCCCAAUAUCAUGA
rnacentral:tRNA from 1 species